CCUGGCACUCGCUCUGUAGACCAGGCUGGCCUCAAAAUCACAGAGAUCUGCUUGCCUCUGCCUCCUGAGUGCUGGAAU
rnacentral:miRNA from 1 species